rnacentral:rRNA from 1 species
UGGGGAAUUUUGGACAAUGGGGGCGAACCCUCGAUCCAGCCAUGCCGCGUGUGUGAAGAAGGCCUUCGGGUUGUAAAGCACCUUCGGCCGGAACGAAAUCGCGCGAUCUAAUAAGUCGCGUGGAUGACGGUACCGGAAGAAGAAGCACCGGCUAACUACGUGCCAGCAGCCGCGGUAAUACGUAGGGUGCGAGCGUUAAUCGGAAUUACUGGGCGUAAAGUGUGCGCAGGUGGCCGCGCAAGUCGAGUGUGAAAUCCCGGCUAGCUUAGGAUUGGCAUGCUCGAACUCACGAUGGUGCUCGAGUGUGGCAGAGGAAGGUGGAAUUCCACGUGUAGCGGUGAAAUGCGUUAGAGAUGUGGAGGAACACCGAUGGCGAAGGCAGCCUUCUGGGCCAACACUGACGCUCAUGCACGAAAGCGUGGGGAGCAAACA